AGAGUUUGAUCCUGGCUCAGAACGAACGCUGGCGGCGUGCUUAACACAUGCAAGUCGAACGCGAACGGGACUUCGGUUCCUAGUAGAGUGGCGCACGGGUGAGUAACGCGUAGAUAACCUAUCUUUAUGUCUGGGAUAACACGCCGAAAGGGGUACUAAUACCGGAUAUUCUUGCAUUUCAUAAGUAUUGCAAGGAAAGGUGGCCUCUGAUUCAAGCUACUGCAUAGAGAGGGGUCUGCGUACCAUUAGCUAGUAGGUGGGGUAAUGGCCUACCUAGGCAACGAUGGUUAGCGGGUCUGAGAGGAUGAUCCGCCACACUGGCACUGAAACACGGGUCAGACUCCUACGGGAGGCAGCAGUGAGGAAUAUUGCGCAAUGGGGGCAACCCUGACGCAGCGACGCCGCGUGAGUGAGGAAGGCCUUCGGGUCGUAAAGCUCUGUCAAGAGGGAAGAAGUGCAUGGUAGCUAAUACCUGCCAUGUUUGACGGUACCUCUAAAGGAAGCACCGGCUAACUCCGUGCCAGCAGCCGCGGUAAUACGGAGGGUGCAAGCGUUGUUCGGAAUUACUGGGCGUAAAGGGCGCGCAGGCGGCUUGCCAAGUCAGAUGUGAAAUGCCAUGGCUUAACCAUGGACGUGCAUUUGAAACUGGUGGGCUUGAGUACCAGAGGGGAAGGUGGAAUUCCCGGUGUAGAGGUGAAAUUCGUAGAUAUCGGGAGGAAUACCGGUGGCGAAGGCGACUUUCUGGCUGGAUACUGACGCUGAGGCGCGAAAGCGUGGGGAGCAAACAGGAUUAGAUACCCUGGUAGUCCACGCUGUA
rnacentral:rRNA from 1 species